AGGAUGUUGGCUUUAUGGAUGCAAGGCUCCUGCAAGACCCUGGACUUGGCCAUGGCGAGAUUAGCAGAUGUGAUACAACAGAGAUGUGAAACGGCUCUGCUCAUUUGGGGCUAAUUUGCUGGUCUACCUUUGGCUAAGCCAUUUGGAAAUCCUGGGCAAGACUGAUUGAAAAUAAAAGAUAAGAGAAACAACUGAGUUGCCCCAAGCCUCCCAGCCAAGACUAUGGUUGCUGAAUGAUUGAAAGCUGAUUCCCAGAUGGAUUUUUGCAUGAAGAGGGGCAGGAGGCUGAGAGGCAUAGCCAGUGACAAUUUAGACUUGUUCCUGAUGAUUUUGGAGAGCUCGGGGAGCAGCAUUUCUGGUAUGCCUUUUUCCUACAUUUACAUACAUUUUCAUUUAGUUUUCAACAUAUCCAAUUGUCUUUUCAUUUACGUUUUUAUUAUGCACUGUAGCAGGUACGUAUUAGAAUGAAGAUGUUAAACUGUGCACACUACAAGAAAAUUAAAAGAAAAUAUAUAUAAGUAAUAUUUCCCUUCAAUGCAUGGAUGCAGCUGUUGAGAGCACUCUACUCAUUGAUCUUGACCAUGGCUUUACUGAGUUGAAUCCUUAUCAAUGUUCCCAGGAGGCAUGAUUCCUACACAGGACAAUGUUCUAGUGAUAGUAUUCUCAUUUCUGCAACUCUAUGCUCUCAUUACUUUACAUAUCAAUUAAACUUUAUUUGGACACUUGGCAUUUUAGAUUUGAUCUUGUUGGAUGCUCAAGAUCAUCUGACGAGAUGAUCUAAUAUUUUCAUGUGUGUAUCCCAAUAAAUAGUCCUGAGCUUUGUUCUGGGGUUCAAUUAGGUACGUUGAAAACAGUUUGGUCCUUUUUGAGCAACGCAUAUUAGGUGGUACCAGAGCAGCACUUAAUCUAGGCAAAACCAUCCACUACUAAAGACGCCAGACCUUUCUGUGUACUUCACCCAAUCCCACUGACUUGUGAACUGUUAAACUAGUCUAGCUGGCGAGGACUGCCAGUAUUCUUAGAUGUGGCUAAGCACAAACAACUCCCUGCUCUGACUCAUUCAGGUGGUUCUUUCCUGCCCUCAGGGAGUUUCCCAAUACACUCUUCUGCUGAAUAGUAGGGGGGACCCAUGGUAGGUCUCUAGAUUUCCUUCUCUUCUUCAAGGCUCUCUCCUGCAAAGGAUGUCCAUAUUUUUCUUUGAUUCUGAAUCUAUGAUUCUCUGAUUCUGAGCUUCGUCUCCCCGA
rnacentral:lncRNA from 10 species